rnacentral:rRNA from 1 species
GACGAACGCUGGCGGCGUGCUUAACACAUGCAAGUCGAACGGAAAGGCCCCUUUGGGGGUACUCGAGUGGCGAACGGGUGAGUAACACGUGAGUAACCUGCCCUUGACUUCGGGAUAACUUCAGGAAACUGGGGCUAAUACCGGAUAGGAAUCCUUGCUGCAUGGUGGGGGUUGGAAAGCUUCGGCGGUUUUGGAUGGACUCGCGGCUUAUCAGCUUGUUGGUGGGGUAGUGGCUUACCAAGGCUUUGACGGGUAGCCGGCCUGAGAGGGCGACCGGCCACAUUGGGACUGAGAGAAGGCCCAGACUCCUACGGGAGGCAGCAGUGGGGAAUAUUGCACAAUGGGCGGAAGCCUGAUGCAGCAACGCCGCGUGCGGGAUGACGGCCUUCGGGUUGUAAAACGCUUUCAGCAGGGGCGAAGCUUGUGGUGACGGUACCUGCAGAAGAAGCACCGGCUAACUACGUG